rnacentral:rRNA from 1 species
UACAGAGGUCCCAAGCGUUGUUCGGAUUCACUGGGCGUAAAGGGUGCGUAGGUGGUGAGGUAAGUCGGAUGUGAAAUCUCCGAGCUCAACUCGGAAAUGGCAUUGGAAACUACCUUGCUCGAGGGUUGGAGGGGGGACUGGAAUGCUUGGUGUAGCAGUGAAAUGCGUAGAUAUCAAGCGGAACACCAGUGGCGAAGGCGAGUCCCUGGACAACUCCUGACACUGAGGCACGAAAGCCAGGGGAGCGAACGGG